CUCCCUGACCACACUCCCAAGGCUCCUUCUAAAGUGAUGGUUUUUUAAUGGGCCUGAGAGAAGCGUACAAUCCCAUCAAGACAAAUGAAUCAAAUUUGGAAACAAAGCUCCAUGGCUGGGUCACUUCCUCUGACUUGGUGAAUGGGAUGAGGUAUAAUGACAGAAAAACAAAUGAAUAGCAAGAAGCCAUCAGUACAUUGACCUCCCACAUGACUCUGGCAGGCUUCAGGUAGGAAUACUGGUGUGGGUAGCCAUGUCUUUCUCUGGGGGAUUUUCCCGAAUCAGGGAUUGAACCCAAGUCCAGCUUCUGCUCAAGCAUCCAGAUCCUGUCAUCUGCCUCUAAUGGACUAGAGAGGAACCCAGAGAGAAGGGAGUAUGUGAAGGCGCUCUUGUAGCCUGGAGGAAGGCAGGAGGGGGACCUGCCUGAGUCUGGACUUUGAUAUCAGCCUGAGAGAAAUCUCAGCUCAUCCCCCAAUAUCAGGAAAAGGACAUAAAUUAAAAUUCACAAAGGGAAGGAUGUAUGAGGCAAUGUCCAGGAGAAACCAGAUACAAGCUUCUAGGCUCUCAGUGGAGUUGCAUAUUAACACAAUUAAUUCUCCCAGCAAUUAUACAUGACCAUACACGUGACAUAUUCUCAACAGGGAGGCUUACUGCUGCAUGGUAUUGGACUUUUUAUUUGGGGGUUGUUUACCUGGUGGCUCAGACAAUAAAGAAGCUGUGGCAAUGCAGAACACCCAGGUUCAAUUCCUGGGUCAGGACAAUCCCUCAA
ensembl:lncRNA